rnacentral:tRNA from 1 species
GGUUCCUUAGUGAAGUGGGUAGUGGUUACACGCUCGCUUCACAUGUGAGAGGCCCAAGGUUCGAGUCCCAGUAGAAUCA